rnacentral:rRNA from 1 species
CCUACGGGGGGCAGCAGUGGGGAAUAUUGCGCAAUGGGCGAAAGCCUGACGCAGCGACGCCGCGUGAGGGAUGAAGGUCUUCGGAUCGUAAACCUCUGUCAGCAGGGAAGAACGGUCACUGUGCUAAUCAGCAGUGAAUUGACGGUACCUGCAAAGGAAGCACCGGCUAACUCCGUGCCAGCAGCCGCGGUAAUACGGAGGGUGCGAGCGUUAAUCGGAAUUACUGGGCGUAAAGCGCUCGUAGGCGGUAUGUCAAGUCAAGGGUGAAAGCCCCGCGCUCAACGUGGGAACUGCCUUUGAAACUGGCAAACUGGAGUGUGUGAGGGGAUAGUGGAAUUCCAGGUGUAGGAGUGAAAUCCGUAGAUAUCUGGAGGAACAUCAGUGGCGAAGGCGACUAUCUGGCACAUAACUGACGCUGAGGAGCGAAAGCGUGGGUAGCAAACAGGAUUAGAUACCCGGGUAGUC